rnacentral:rRNA from 1 species
AUUGAACGCUGGCGGCAGGCCUAACACAUGCAAGUCGAGCGGAUGAAGGGAGCUUGCUCCUGGAUUCAGCGGCGGACGGGUGAGUAAUGCCUAGGAAUCUGCCUGGUAGUGGGGGAUAACGUCCGGAAACGGGCGCUAAUACCGCAUACGUCCUGAGGGAGAAAGUGGGGGAUCUUCGGACCUCACGCUAUCAGAUGAGCCUAGGUCGGAUUAGCUAGUUGGUGGGGUAAAGGCCUACCUAGGCGACGAUCCGUAACUGGUCUGAGAGGAUGAUCAGUCACACUGGAACUGAGACACGGUCCAGACUCCUACGGGAGGCAGCAGUGGGGAAUAUUGGACAAUGGGCGAAAGCCUGAUCCAGCCAUGCCGCGUGUGUGAAGAAGGUCUUCGGAUUGUAAAGCACUUUAAGUUGGGAGGAAGGGCAGUAAGUUAAUACCUUGCUGUUUUGACGUUACCAACAGAAUAAGCACCGGCUAACUUCGUG